GUCACCAAGCCCUGGGCAGCCCUAUUCACCACGUUUACUCUUCUGCUCCUCCAUCAGGUGCUCGCUCCACUGACAAGAUUUCAUCCCCAACAUGCCACAGGGAGAGGCAAGAGGUCAGACCCUCCCAGCUUCCCCUCUAGUUCUGCCACCAGAAUGCCAGGAGGAGGCAAGAGACACCCAACAGCAUCAGGAGCGCUGGUGAGGGCUGGGGGACGGGGUCUGGACAGUGAGCUCGAGUUUCCCACUUGACUGUCUCAGAAAGGACCGGGCUGAGACCAGAGAAACAUCUUCCUCUGAGUUGAGAGAUGUGGUGGGGAGUGGAUGAUCCCUCCUUUUCUGGACCCUCUAAUCUGCAGGGCCCCUGGGCGCCACCAAUAUGAGAGAAUCAGGCCUGUGUUUGGGGUCUCUAAAAGACUUUAAAGCAGCCCCACCCCACACCAUCCUGGUCUGGCCUGGUUGCCAUGGUGAUGCCCCAGUUCCUCCAGAGGCGGCAGCUGGUUCUUGAAGUGGGGGUGGUGGGGACAGUGGAUUUUUGAGCUGAGGCGGGUUGGGGUGAGAGGUCAGUGUUGUCUGGGAACAUUCUUGACCAUGGCAGGAGCUGAAAGCCCGUGGUUUGUCUCCACUCCUGCUUCUGUCAGUGCAGGCCCGGCUCUUCCUGCUCCCUUCACCUCCAGGCUCCACGCCCGCUGCCGCCCCCGAGAGCGGCUGUCUCACAGGCUUGGGACAGACAAGCCCUAAACCUGACAUGGAGGCUCAGAGGCAAGGACCCCAUGUGAGGACCCGGUGGGGGAUGGGUAAGGAUGGGUGCUGGUCUCUCCGGGCGGAGCAGCUGCGUCACUGAAAGCAGUUGUUGAAGUGCCCAACUUGAGGAUAUUACAGAAACGAAGAUCCCAGCUUACCCCCUAUUAAGUGGAAGACCUAGGACAUGAGGGGGAGGGAAGGUGCCAGGCACUGACCACUGUGCUCCAAGUUCAAGAGAGGAAGAACCUGACAGCCAAGCCCAGACAGGCCACUGCCAACCAUGUUUUCCAGCUUCUGGGGCUCCAACGAGAUGAAGACCACUGGUGAAACUAGGCUGCGACUCAGUGUCCACCCUCCCCCCACUUCUCAGCAGGGCCCCCAGCAACCCUUCUCCCAGGUUCCCAAUACUACCAGCUCCUGCAGUGCCCCCCAGAAGGGGCCCACAUCUGGCCUCAUCCCUAUUGGCACCAGA